AUGGAGUGGGAUGUUGAGCCCAAUUUGCUAAUCCUUUUUUGUUCAUCUUUCUCCAGCCAUGUCAAAAACGGAUAUCAGGCUUUUCUUACAAUAAUGGCCCAAAACAUCUCCUAUCCAGAUCCACCAAUAAAGCUAAAGAGAAAGGAUUUGAUACGCUGCAUUUUCGUUGCAACCUCUUCUACUUCGCAUGAGAACUACGCCAUCAGCUUCUUCGCGGAUCUCCGCCGAAUCUGCACUUCCAUCUCUCGUUUGCAAUUCAAUACUCCGUGA